rnacentral:rRNA from 1 species
AAUGGGCGCAAGCCUGAUCCAGCCAUACCGCGUGUGUGAAGAAGGCCUUCGGGUUGUAAAGCACUUUAAGCAGGGAGAAAAAGUUAUAAGUUAAUACCCUAUAACCGUGAUGUUACCUGCAGAAUAAGCACCGGCUAAUUCCGUGCCAGCAGCCGCGGUAAUACGGAAGGUGCAAGCGUUAAUCGGAAUUACUGGGCGUAAAGCGCGCGUAGGUGGUUUGUUAAGUUGGACGUGAAAGCCCUGGGCUCAACCUAGGAACUGCAUCCAAAACUAACUCACUAGAGUACGAUAGAGGGAGGUAGAAUUCAUAGUGUAGCGGUGGAAUGCGUAGAUAUUAUGAAGAAUACCUGUGGCGAAGGCGGCCUCCUGGAUCUGUACUGACACUGAGGUGCGAAAGCGUGGGUAGCGAACAGGAUU